rnacentral:rRNA from 1 species
GGCCAGACUCCUACGGGAGGCAGCAGUGGGGAAUAUUGCACAAUGGGGGGAACCCUGAUGCAGCGACGCCGCGUGGGUGAAGGAGCACCUCGGUGCGUAAAGCCCUCUCGGCAGGGAAGAAACAGACGGUACCUGACUAAGAAGCCCCGGCUAACUACGUGCCAGUAGCCGCGGUAAUACGUAGGGGGCAAGCGUUAUCCGGAUUUACUGGGCGUAAAGGGAGCGUAGGUGGCAUGGUAAGCCAGAAGUGAAAACCCGGGGCUCAACCCCGCGGAUUGCUUUUGGAACUAUCAGGCUGGAGUGCUGGAGGGGUAAGCGGAAUUCCUAGUGUAGCGGUGAAAUGCGUAGAUAUUAGGAGGAACACCGGUGGCGAAGGCGGCUUACUGGACAGAAACUGACACUGAGGCUCGAAAGCGUGGGGAGCAAACAGGAUUAGAUACCCCAGUA